UAAGAUAGCCAUACCAGACUGGCUGUACCUGAUCUUGUCUGAUUAGCCCAAGCUAAACAGGAAUGGGCCCAACUAAUACUUAGAUAGGAGACUACCUGGGAAUCUUGGGUGCCAUAGGCA
rnacentral:rRNA from 1 species